rnacentral:lncRNA from 1 species
CGGCGGGAGGCAGUGGCAGGCAGGCGGCAGGCGGCGGAGCGCGGGGCGCAGGGGACGCGGGCGGCCGGUGCGCGUCACAGGGGCUCGGGCGCGCGCGUCACAGGGGCCAGGCGACAGCGCGCGCGCGCGCGAGGCUUCUUAGGGGCGCCGGCGGCAGCCGCCAGCGUCUACGGCCAUACCACCCUGAACGCGCCCGAUCUCGUCUGAUCUCGGAAGCUAAGCAGGGUCGGGCCUGGUUAGUACUUGGAUGGGAGACCGCCUGGGAAUACCGGGUGCUGUAGGCUUUUGCCUCCCGCCGCCUCCCUCUCCUUUUGCGCCCCCCCCCCCCCCGGCCCCAGCGCCGCUCCCUCCACGCUCCUCCCGCCCCUCCUCCCUCCUCACCGGUCGCCCCAUCGCCCCGCCACGCCCCCACCGCUGUCCAGCCGCGCGAGUGCCCCGCGGCCGCGGCCACCGCCGCCGCCGCCGCCGCCGCCGCCCAGCCCUUCCACCUCGCGGCCCCACGGGAACCCAGGGCCAACCGGGGCCGGCCCCGCGUGGCCGUGCCCCCGACGCCGCCCUCGUCCGGCGGGCUCCCUCUGUCCUCGGCGGCCUCUUCCCACCCGCCAGGCUCCUGAGAGACCCUAGCGGUCCACUCGGCCGGCGCGGCACCCAAGCAGUUGGUCGAGUCGUGGUGUGCGAUGGAACGGAUCCCGCUCCGGGCUGCGGAGGCCCGGACAGCUUCAGCAAGCUGCCAGCAGCCCCUCCGUCUUCCAGAGCCCAUCUAGGAAAGACCCCGGGUCAGGCCUCUCCAAACAGCACCUACAGAAGGACGGGGCCCACUGGGCUCGAGAGGAACCUUCGGGGCCUGGCCAUCCAUCCCAAGCGGGACGGCUUCUGGAUUUUCUGAUGCCUGCGCCGUGUGUCAGCUUCUCCAAGUCGGUACCUGGCUGUCCUUGAUACCGUCGUUCGCGAGAAACCCUCGUUUCCGCACUGGAGUUGAAGCAGCACAGAGGAAAAGAUUCAGAAACUAAGGAUAAAGAUGCAGGAAGAUCGCGAUGGAGAGGAAUGAAAUUGAGGAGCUCUAAUGGAUGGUAUUUCUCUUCUUAGGAAGGGAGGCAGUGCCCUUAUCCGGCUGGAGAUGUUUCCCAUUGAGCCUGGAGAUUUAAUCUGCAGAUUUGCACCAGCGGUGACACAACCUCCUCAAGGGCACUUGCGAAACACGUUUCUGGGUCCUGUGCAAAGUGAGGCAAGCGGAUUCCUGAAAAUGACAGCACAGUCCAACCACAGCUCAAGUCAAAAGCCAUAAGCACAUCAUGAAAAACAAACCCAUCACUGAACAAAUAUAUGAUAUGUUUACAUUGCAACUAAAUAUUUCACAGUGAGAAACAAGUCUUUUCUGUAAAAAUGUGCUGCAAUGUGUGUAUAUUAUUUCAUAUUUUGGGGAUUAUAUCUUUAGGACUAAUUCCUAGAAGCAUAAUUUCUAGGUCAAAGAGUAAAUCCAUAUACAAAUCUGCUAGAUGUUGCCAAACGCCCUUCUGUAGCACCUCCAACAUUUUGUAUCCCCAUCAACAAUGCGUGAGCUUGGCUGGUUCUCCACAGCCUCGCAACGGAGUGGGGUUUACACUUUUGGAUGAUUCCAAAUUGAUGGGUAAGAAAUGGUACAUCCUUGUACUUUUAGUUUGUUUCUCUUAUUAUUGUUGCUGCAGUCUAGAUCUAGCCAGGAAGAGAGAAACCAGACCAAUUAUUUUAAUAGAGAAAACUGAAUUUGGGUAAAAGGCUAAGCAGGAAUUGGUGGACUAAGCAGGCAAAGAGGAACCAGGAGGAACAGAGAGAAAGUCUAACCAGCUAUAUUAAAAUUCUUCAUAAUUGGAAUGUAUAGAGUGGCUUCGGUAUUCUCACUGAACCAUAACUUCUCUCCAUGACUGUUUGCCCCUGAAUCGUGAUAUUGCCCUCUCUCUGACUCACUUGCUCAAAUUCUGACACUUAGUCUUUUAAUCCAACUGAAUAGAGACGCUUCUUAUAUACUAGGGAACCCAGUUAGAGUGCCUUGAAUGUAAGGAUAUGACCAGAGGGCUCUCUGGGAUUGGAGGAGAAGGAUAUUCAUCUCAGAAAGUUUGUUUAAAUCAGCAUGCCUGUCCCAAACUCCUGAAUUUUUAAAAAUCUGUGCCUGAGAGGUCCCUUGACAAAUUAGGAGGCAGAGUGACACAUUACACAAGCCACUGAAUACUGCAAUCUUGACCCAGUUUCUGAAAGACUCCAUAAUGUAAUCAAUAGCAAUAUAUCUCAUGACAAAGAUAACACAAAAGAAGAAAUUUACAACAAAGUUGAUUCAUGUAUAUUGAUUCAAAAACUCUGAACAAAAUACUAUCAGAUGUUAUAGUGCUAACAAUAAAAUAAUAUUAAUAAUAAAAUGCCAUGACUUAGUAGGUAUACAUUCUAGCAUUUAUUCCAGUAGAUUACCAGGUAUGUGGGCGAAAGGAGAAAAAUAUAAAUUACCAUCUCAU